rnacentral:misc_RNA from 1 species
GAUGAAGAACGCAGCGAAAUGCGAUAAGUAAUGUGAAUUGCAGAAUUCCGUGAAUCAUCGAAACUUUGAACGCACAUUGCGCCCUCUGGUAUUCCGGGGGGCAUGCCUGUCCGAGCGUCAUUGCAAACCCUCAAGCCCGGCUUGUCUGAUGGGUCCCGCGUCCGCCUCUUAGGGGGCGGACGGGCCCGAAACGCAGUGGCGGCGUCGCGGUAAUCCGAUCAGCCAGAGCGUAUGGGGACAUCUCGUCACACGCUUUAGGCGCGGACCGGCGCCCGCCGAGACCAAAUCUCACAUCCAAGGUUUGACCUCGGAUCAGGUAGGGAUACCCGCUGAACUUAAGCAUAUCAAUAAGCGGAGGA